AGAGUUUGAUCAUGGCUCAGAACGAACGCUGGCGGCAUGCCUAACACAUGCAAGUCGAACGAGACCUUCGGGUCUAGUGGCGCACGGGUGCGUAACGCGUGGGAAUCUGCCUUUAGGUUCGGAAUAACUCAGAGAAAUUUGAGCUAAUACCGGAUAAUGUCUUCGGACCAAAGAUUUAUCGCCUUUAGAUGGGCCCGCGUUGGAUUAGCUAGUUGGUGGGGUAAAGGCCUACCAAGGCGACGAUCCAUAGCUGGUCUGAGAGGAUGAUCAGCCACACUGGGACUGAGACACGGCCCAGACUCCUACGGGAGGCAGCAGUGGGGAAUAUUGGACAAUGGGCGAAAGCCUGAUCCAGCAAUGCCGCGUGGGUGAUGAAGGCCUUAGGGUUGUAAAGCUCUUUUACCCGAGAUGAUAAUGACAGUAUCGGGAGAAUAAGCUCCGGCUAACUCCGUGCCAGCAGCCGCGGUAAUACGGAGGGAGCUAGCGUUGUUCGGAAUUACUGGGCGUAAAGCGCACGUAGGCGGCUUUUUAAGUCAGGGGUGAAAUCCCGGGGCUCAACCCCGGAACUGCCCUUGAAACUGGGAAGCUAGAAUCUUGGAGAGGCGAGUGGAAUUCCGAGUGUAGAGGUGAAAUUCGUAGAUAUUCGGAAGAACACCAGUGGCGAAGGCGACUCGCUGGACAAGUAUUGACGCUGAGGCGCGAAAGCGUGGGGAGCAAACAGGAUUAGAUACCCCGGUAGUCC
rnacentral:rRNA from 1 species